rnacentral:rRNA from 1 species
GAUGGACAACAGGUUGAUAUUCCUGUACUACCGAUAACCGUUUGAGAGAAGGGAUGACACAGUAGGAUAAGCUAAGCACACUGUUGGUUAUGUGUGCCCAAGCAUUGAGGCAGUCAAAGUAGGCAAAUCCGCUUUGAUAAUGCUGGGAUGUGAUGGGGAGCGAAAUUUAGUAGCGAAGUAGCUGAUUUCACACUGUCAAGAAAAGUCUCUAUCGAGGUUAAAGGUACCCGUACCGCAAACCGACACAGGUGGGUGAGGAGAGUAUCCUAAGGCCAGCGAGAGAACUGUUGUUAAGGAACUCGGCAAAAUGACCCCGUAACUUAGGGAUAAGGGGUGCCACCAUCAGGUGGCCGCAGAGAAUAGGCCCAAGCGACUGUUUACCAAAAACAUAGGUUUCUGCUAAGUCGCAAGACGAUGUAUAGGAGCUGACGCCUGCCCGGUGCUGGAAGGUUAAGGGGAUCUGUUAGAGCAAUCGAAGCAGUGAACUUAAGCCCCAGUAAACGGCGGCCGUAACUAUAACGGUCCUAAGGUAGCGAAAUUCCUUGUCGGGUAAGUUCCGACCCGCACGAAAGGCGUAACGAUUUGGGCACUGUCUCAACAACAGACUCGGUGAAAUUGUAAUUCCGGUGAAGAUGCCGGAUACCUGCGACAGGACGGAAAGACCCCAUGGAGCUUUACUGUAGCUUGACAUUGGGUCUUGGUACUACAUGUACAGGAUAGGUGGGAGGCUUUGAAACCAGGACGCCAGUUUUGGCGGAGCCAUCCUUGGGAUACCACCCUUGUAGUACUGGGACUCUAACCAUAG